rnacentral:rRNA from 1 species
AUUGAACGCUGGCGGCAUGCCUUACACGUGCAAGUCGAACGGCAGCACGGGAGCAAUCCUGGUGGCGAGUGGCGAACGGGUGAGUAAUAUAUCGGAACGUGCCCAGUAGUGGGGGAUAACUGCUCGAAAGAGCAACUAAUACCGCAUACGACCUGAGGGUGAAAGGGGGGGAUCGCAAGACCUCUCGCUAUUGGAGCGGCCGAUAUCAGAUUAGCUAGUUGGUGGGGUAAAGGCCUACCAAGGCAACGAUCUGUAGUUGGUCUGGGAGGACGACCAGGCACAAUAGGGCGAAGACACGGACAAGAAUCCUACGGGAGGGAGCAGUGGGGAAUUUUGGACAAAGGGCGCAAGCCUGAUCCAGCAAUGCCGCGUGCAAGAAGAAGGCCUUAGGGUUGUAAACUGCUUUUGUCAGGGAAGAAAUCCUCUAGGUUAAUACCCUUGGGGGGAUGAAGGUACCUGAAGAAUAAGCACCGGCUAACUACGUGCCAGCCGCCGCGGUAACAC